GGGGGGGGGGGGGGGGGGGGUCGGUCGACUCCAGGUAUGAGCAGCUCCUGAGCUUGAUGGCUGGAUGUGUGCACACAUGUAAUGGGGUAUCAUGGUCACGUUGCUUGGUGUGCAGAGGCGACCCGGCACCGGCGCAUGCCCGGCGGUGGGACUUCGCCGUGGCCGGUGGGCGGCAGCAAGCGGUGCGGCGAGGGGAGGCGCACGGUCCAGAGGGUGGGACUCUUGCUAGCCGCUCUCCCGUUCCCGUUGGUUUCUUGCGGCCACGGUGGCGUUUCUCAGAUCGAGCGCCGCUCAUCCUUCUCCUCUUCGCUGCUUCUCCACAACGCUAGCCCCUCCACCUCUCCUUCCUCCCCUUCGUUGUGUGGUGGACAUGGGAUGCGCCUAGAUCCAGAUCGGGCGUAGGUUAGGUGAGGCUGAUGGUUGGGUGAAGGAGUAGGGGAGGCGGGCGACGAGGACAGGAAGAAGCCGGCCGUCGUGGUGCAGUGGGGCUGCCGGGAAGGAAGAGGUCGGCUGCGUCCCCGGCGGUGUCGGUGGAACUGCUCCUCAACGAGAUUCGGCCAUGGAGAGGACCGUGGUGCCAGCGCAGCCUCGCCCCCUCUAGCGCCAUCGAACUGAGAUGGCAAGCACCAUUUUGUUGGUUCCUGUCUUGCCAAUGUCUACAGCAAUGUGUGUGUCCUCUGUCUCAUCUGUGGGGCAACUCAUAAUGGGCCUAUCAAGCAUACUGACCUUGUGAUGAUAGAUAAAGAGGUUGAUUUCAGUGCCAUUCAGAUAAUAUAUUUUUAGCCCUGUGAAUUGAAAAAUGAGUGCUUCUUGGUUGUUUCUGUUGUUGGUGGCACUUCUUGGUGUGUUAACUAAAUGGUUUAGUCCUGCGCUUCAUAGAAGCAGUUUUAACUAAAUGUAAUGAACUAAUUAAGUGCCUUCUUUUAUUGUUGGCUAAUCCUUUAGUUUUAUCGCAUGCUACAUUCUAUAUGAUGAUACGCUACCACUCUAAUACGUCCAGGCACUAUAAACCCUAUGUCAGCUAUGUAUGAAUUUGGAAUCUAUAUUGCAGAA